rnacentral:rRNA from 1 species
AUUGAACGCUGGCGGCAGGCCUAAUACAUGCAAGUCGAACGAGUGGCGGACGGGUGAGUAAUGCCUGGGAAACUGCCCGAUGGAGGGGGAUAACUACUGGAAACGGUAGCCAAUUCCGCAUACUAUCGGAUGUGCCCAGAUGGGAUUAGCUUGGAGGUGAGGUAACGGCUCACCAAGGCAACGAUCCCUAGCGGGUCUGAGAGGAUGACCAGCCCAACUGGAACUGAGACACGGUCCAGACUCCUACGGGAGGCAGCAGUGGGGAAUAUUGAACAAGGGGCGCAAGCCUGAUGCAGCCAUGCCGCGUGUAUGAAGAAGGCCUUCGGGUUUUAAAGUACUUUCAGCGGGGAGGCGUUACCCGCAGAAGAAGCACCGGCUAACUCCGUGCCAGCAGCCGCGGUAAUAC